CUUAUUUGUAAUUAAGGUGGCAAGCUGGUAGAAUCAUUAGUGAAUUGGACAAAAUGCUUAGCAGCAUUUCUUUUAACUCUUUAUGUUUUGGGUUCAGAUUCUGCUAAGGUCAGUUUUGUCUGUCAUCCUUUCAGGAUCGAUAAAAUAAGUACCAGUUAAUCACUAAAGUUGUAAUUGACUUACCCCACUCCCUUUAGAUUGCCGAAAUUUGAAACCAUUAUUUGUUAGCAAUCAUCAUCUGUUAUAUAGUGAAACUGUAUAUCCCUCCCAGUAAAAAGUGGUAGGAUUAAGCCAUUAUAAAUAGACCAGUAGCUGGUCAUCAAAAGAGGCUUAAGAGUUGAGAGUUGACAGUUCUGGGGUGAAUAGCAC